rnacentral:rRNA from 1 species
CAGUCGCCGCGGGAAUACGGAGGGGGCUAGCGCUGUUCGGAAUUACUGGGCGUAAAGCGCACGUAGGCGGCUUGGUAAGUUAGAGGUGAAAGCCUGGAGCUCAACUCCAGAAUUGCCUUUAAGACUGCCGAGCUAGCAGGUGAGAGAGGUAAGUGGAAUUCCGAGUGUAGAGGUGAAAUUCGUAGAUAUUCGGAAGAACACCAGUGGCGAAGGCGGCUUACUGGCUCAUACUGGACGCUGAGGUGCGAAAGCGUGGGGAGCAAACGGGAUUAGAUACCCCGGUAGUCCCUGUCUCUUAUAC